UACGUAGGAUGCAAGCGUUAUCCGGAAUUAUUGGGCGUAAAGCGUGCGUAGGCGGUUUGUUAAGUCUGCUGUGAAAGCCCACGGCUCAACCGUGGAAGUGCAUUUGAAACUGGAAGGCUUGAGUGCAGAAGAGGUAGGUGGAAUUCCAGGUGUAGCGGUGAAAUGCGCAGAGAUCUGGAGGAACACCAGUGGCGAAGGCGGCUUCCUGGGCUGUAACUGACGCUGAUGUGCGAAAGCGUGGGGAUCAAACAGG
rnacentral:rRNA from 1 species